rnacentral:lncRNA from 1 species
UUUGACGGCAUUUUGGUAAUAAUUUGAAGUUUAGCGGGUGUUUAGUUUUGUUCAUGAUUGGGUGGGGUUUAGUAAAUAAGGGUUUAAGAGAAGGGGCAUUUGCAAUUCCUGGUGUUUCGGGGUUUUGUGAAAAUUGUGUGUGGAUUAGGAAGAUCAGGAACACAGAGGAGAGAGGCAGAGAGUGAUAAUUUGUAGGUGGUGGAGGGAGAUUUCGGUUUAUGUAAGCUGGGUAUUUAUGGGGAAAUGGAUUUUCCCGCAAAUGACGACAUUGGUC